UACAGAGGUCUCAAGCGUUGUUCGGAUUCAUUGGGCGUAAAGGGUGCGUAGGCGGCGCGGUAAGUCGGGUGUGAAAUCUCGGAGCUUAACUCCGAAACUGCAUUCGAUACUGCCGUGCUUGAGGACUGGAGAGGAGACUGGAAUUUACGGUGUAGCGGUGAAAUGCGUAGAUAUCGGGAGGAACACCUGUGGCGAAGGCGGCCAUCUGGACAACUACUGACACUGAGACGCGAAAGCGUGGGUAGCAAACAGG
rnacentral:rRNA from 1 species